ACGAAGGGGGCUAGCGUUGUUCGGAAUUACUGGGCGUAAAGCGCACGUAGGCGGGUAUUUAAGUCAGGGGUGAAAUCCUGCAGCUCAACUGUAGAAGUGCCUUUGAUACUGGCGAGCUCGAGGGAGGUAGGGGUGCGCGGAACUUCUGGUGGAGCGGUGAAAUGCGUUGAUAUCAGAAGGAACGCCGGUGGCGAAAGCGG
rnacentral:rRNA from 1 species